CCUACGGGAGGCUGCAGUAGGGAAUAUUGCACAAUGGGGGAAACCCUGAUGCAGCAACGCCGCGUGGAUGAAGAAGUUUUUCGGAUUGUAAACCCCUGUCGUCAGAGAAGAUAAUGACGGUAUCUAACGAAUAAGCACCGGCUAACUACGUGCCAGCAGCCGCGGUAAUACGGAGGGGGCAAGCGUUAUCCGGAUUUACUGGGUGUAAAGAGAGCGUAGACGGGACAGCAAGUCUGAUGUGAAAGCCUAUGGCUUAACCACAGAACUGCAUUUGAAACUGCGAGUCUGGAGUGUAGGAGGGGUAAGUGGAAUUCUUAGUGUAGCGGUGAAAUGCGUAGAUAUUAGGAGGAAUACUCGUGGCGAAGGCGGCCUACUGGAAUGUAACUGACGCUGAUGCGCGAAGGCGUGGGGAGCAAACAGGAUUAGAUACCCGUGUAGUC
rnacentral:rRNA from 1 species